GUCCUCACUUCUGCAGCACAUAUACUAAAAACAGGAAGGAUACAGAGAAGAUUAGCAUGUCCCCUGUGCAAGAAAGACAUUCAAAUUCAUGGAGCAUUCCAUAUUUGA
rnacentral:snRNA from 1 species